rnacentral:rRNA from 1 species
AACGAACGCUGGCGGCGUGCCUAACACAUGCAAGUCGAGGGAGAAAGCCCGCAAGGGUUAGUAAACCGGCGAACGGGUGCGUAACACGUGGAUAAUCUACCUCGGUGACCGGGACAACUGGCCGAAAGGCUUGCUAAUACCGGAUAAGCCCACGACGUUCACGGACGUCGAGGGAAAAGGCGGCCUCUGCAUGCAAGCUGUCACAUCGAGAUGAGUCCGCGGCCCAUCAGCUAGUGGCGGGGUAAUGGCCCACCAAGGCGACGACGGGUAGCUGGUCUGAGAGGAUGAUCAGCCACACUGGAACUGAGACACGGUCCAGACUCCUACGGGAGGCAGCAGUGGGAAUCUUGCGCAAUGGGCGAAAGCCUGACGCAGCAACGCCGCGUGUGUGAUGAAGGUCUUCGGAUUGUAAAGCACUGUCGCGAGGGAAGAGAUG